rnacentral:rRNA from 1 species
CAGCUCUCCGAGUAGUGUGGACGUUUAUUGGGCCUAAAGCAUCCGUAGCUUGCUAGAUAAGUCCUCUGUUAAAUCCACCGAUUCAAUCGUUGGAUUGCGGGGGAUACUGUUUGGCUAGGGGACGGGAGAGGUCGACGGUAUUUCCGGGGUAGGGGUGAAAUCCUAUAAUCCCGGGAGGACCACCAGUGGCGAAGACUGUCGACUAGAACGCGCCCGACGGUGAGGGAUGAAAGCUGGGGGAGCGAACCGGAUUAGAGACCCGAGUAGUCC